UACGAAGGGGGCUAGCGUUGCUCGGAAUUACUGGGCGUAAAGCGCACGUAGGCGGCUUUCUAAGUCGGGGGGUGAAAUCCUGGAGCUCAACUCCAGAACUGCCUUCGAUACUGGCGAUCUUGAGUCCGGAAGAGGUGAGUGGAACUCCUAGUGUAGAGGUGGAAUUCGUAGAUAUUCGCAAGAACACCAGUGGCGAAGGCGGCUCACUGGCCCGAUACUGACGCUGAGGCACGAAAAGCGUGGGGGAGCAAACAGG
rnacentral:rRNA from 1 species